rnacentral:rRNA from 1 species
GAUGAACGCUGGCGGCGUGCCUAAUACAUGCAAGUCGAGCGAACAAACGAGGCUCUUUCUCCUCUUCCGUUAGCGGCGGACGGGUGAGUAACACGUGGCUAACCUACCUAUAAGACUGGGAUACCUUCGGGAAACCGGAUCUAAUACCGGAUAAUAUAUUGAACCGCAUGGUUCAUUAGUGCACGCCGGUUUUGCUGUCACUUAUAGAUAGAUCCGCGCCGCAUUAGCUAGUUGGUACGGUAACGGCUUACCAAGGCAACGAUGCGUAGCCGACCUGAGAGGAUGAUCGGCCACACUGGAACUGAGACACGGUCCAGACUCCUACGGGAGGCAGCAGUAGGGAAUCUUCCGCAAUGGGCGAAAGCCUGACGGAGCAACGCCGCGUGAGUGAUGAAGGUCUUCGGAUCGUAAAACUCUGUUAUUAGGGAAGAACAAAUGUGUAAGUAACUAUGCACGUCUUGACGGUACCUAAUCAGAAAGCCACGGCUAACUACGUG